AGGGAAAGACUUGAGUUACUUCCAACAGGGGUCUAUUCGUCAGUCAAAACGUUAAUCUUAAAGGAGCAAAGGUUUGUUCAUGAGCUGUCAUGCUCGCUAGGCGAAGCCCACGUGUUAUGCAAACAAAAAAAAAACAAAAAAACAAAAAAAAAACGGAAAAAAAAACGAAACGAUUUUUUUUUAAUUAAAUAAAUCAAUAAAUAAAUAAAAAAUAUAAUGAAAAAAUCUCAGACUUGGACCUCUCUCAAAAGCCCACUAAGCUAUCAGUAUUAGUCUAUAAAUACCAAGGCUUCAUUUGAGAAAAAGGAGGAAGAACAGACAGAAAAAGGAAGGGAAGCAAAACACUCUGAGGUUUCCUUGGAACAAAACCCUGACCUAACCUGGGAAAAAGAUAGAGAGAGAAGAGCUAACAGAGUUUAGAGCAACCUCCAGACCCUG
rnacentral:lncRNA from 1 species